CCUACGGGCGGCAGCAGUGGGGAAUAUUGUGCAAUGGAGGCAACUCUGACCCAGCAACGCCGCGUGCAUGAUGAAGGUCUUCGGAUUGGAAAAUUCUUUUCUAGGGGAGGAAGACAGUGACGCUACCUUAGGAAUAAGCCUCGGCGAUCUACGUGCCAGCAGCCGCGGUAAGACGUAGGGGUCAAGCGUUAUCCUGAAUGACUGGGGUUAAGGGGUGCGUAGGUGGUUUGACAAGUUGGUCGCGUAAGUCCGGGGCUCAACCGUGGCACUACUACCGACACUGGCGGGCUUGAGUGCAGGGGGGGCAGAUGGAAUUCGUGGUGUAGCGGUGGAAUGCGUAGAUAUCAGGAAGAACACCAGUGGCGAAGGCGACUUACGGUACUGUAACUGACACUGAGGCACGAAAGCGUGGGUAGCAAACAGGAUUAGAUACCCCAGUAGUC
rnacentral:rRNA from 1 species